GCUGUAAAAGCUAUCGCGUUUCUUUGAAACGAGGAAAGUCCGGACAGCACAGAGCAUCGCACCGGUGAAGAGCCGGGUCCUGAUUCAUCAGGAACAGACAGUGCCACAGAAAAUAACCGUCCGCCGAAGGCGGAUAAGGGUGAAAACGUGAGGUAAGAGCUCACGGCAAUCUCCAGUAAUGGUGAUUGGGGGUAAACCUUGCGUGCUGAAAUGCCACAUAGGUUCUGGUAACGAAAGUUGGAGAAUGACUCGUUCUCUCUGAAAAGGCCGGAAUGGGUAGGCAGCUUGAUUCUUUUGGGCAACCUGAAGAACAGAUAAAUGAUAGCAUGACACAGAAUCCGGCUUAUUUAAACAGCAAAA
rnacentral:RNase_P_RNA from 1 species